CUGAAGAGGACGGGCAUCUGUCUCUACCAUUGACAACAAGUCCUGGAGACAGAAGUAGGUCUAGAGACACCACAGCAAGUCAACCUGCAGAAUCCAGACCAUAGGGAAGUCAACACCAUAAAUAACCCACGUUCUUCAGCAAAUACAUCGUGAGAGAGAGGAAAGGAGGCAACCUCUCGUUAAAAGGAACUCGAGUGAGAGAUGGGUCACAAUCACAGCGGGCGGACUGUAAUCGGACCCUGAUAGAAACAAGCAAACCAACGAAGAAGCAGCCCCUUUACCAGUGUGAGACGACAGAUACACCCUGACGUCUUUACAGGUGGCAGACAGAGGAGCAGGACCGGCUGCAGAAUGGCACACGAGAGAGGGGAAGGAAUGGGCUCAGAGCAUCCAAAGCACAGAAACGUCACUGCACGUGGGACUGUCCUCUGAGCCCUACAUCCCGCAACAAACACUGACCGAGCACCCUUCAUGGGCCAGGCAUGGAACGUGCAGGCGUGUGUGCACGUUCUCUCAUGUAAGCCUCCCAGGGACACCGUGAGGUCAGCGGC